rnacentral:rRNA from 1 species
AGAGUUUGAUCCUGGCUCAGGACGAACGCUGGCGGCGUGCCUAACACAUGCAAGUCAGGGAGAAAGGGGUAGCAAUAUCCCGAGUAAACCGGCGAACGGGUGAGUAACACGUAGGCAACUUACCUUGUGAACGGGGAUAACCCCGGGAAACCGGGGCUAAUACCCGAUGAAGUUCCGCCCUAGCAUUAGGGUGGAUCCAAAAGCCCCAAAAGGGCGUCACAAGAUGGGCCUGCGUCCCAUUAGAUAGUUGGCGGGGUAAUGGCCCACCAAGUCGACGAUGGGUAGCUGGUCUGAGAGGACGACCAGCCACACUGGAACUGCGACACGGUCCAGACUUCUACGGAAGGCAGCAGUGAGGAAUAUUGCUCAAUGGGCGAAAGCCUGAAGCAGCGACGCCGCGUGAGGGAUGAAAUCCGUUAGGAUGUAAACCUCUUUUGCAGGGGAAGAAUGUCCCGCUCAGCGGGAUUGACGGUACCCUGCGAAUAAGCACCGGCCAACUACGUGCCAGCAGCCGCGGUAAUACGUAGGGUGCAAGCGUUGUCCGGAAUUACUGGGUGUAAAGGGUCCGCAGGCGGGCAAGCAAGUCGAAGGUGAAAUCUCACGGCUCAACCGUGAAACUGCCUGCGAUACUGCUUGUCUUGAGUUCGAGAGAGGAUGAUGGAAUUCAUGGUGUAGCGGUGAAAUGCGUAGAGAUCAUGAAGAACACCAGUAGCGAAGGCGGUCAUCUGGCUCGAUACUGACGCUCAGGGACGAAAGCGUGGGGAGCAAACAGGAUUAGAUACCCUGGUAGUCCACGCCUUAAGCGAUGGAUGUUCGGUGUCGGUUCGAAAGAAUCGGUGCCUGAGCUAACGCGUUAAACAUCCCACCUGGGGAGUACGAUCGCAAGGUUGAAACUCAAGGAUUG